rnacentral:misc_RNA from 1 species
UCAKGANUGUANNACCGNGAUAUGACAAGGCUUGAAUUCCCUCCGGGUGGGCAGACGCUCCUGGUGUCCUUGUGUCGGAUUUUGGCCAACCGCGUGCGGUGGUCCCGGGAGACCAGCUUCUCUCCCAUAGCCUUAUGAGGAUGGGGGGGACAACGAUUUGUGACCCCAGGCAAACGUGCCCUCGGCCUGAAGGCUUGGGGCGCAACUUGCGUUCAAAGACUCGAUGGUUCACGGGAUUCUGCUGUUCUCACCUCGUAUCUCAAUUCGCUACCUUCUUCAUCGAUGCSAGAGCCCACAUAUCCGUUGCCAAGAGUCGUUUUAGACUUUAUAUUGGUGCAUUGCAUACGCCCAAACACCGUCUCCUGUUUGACGAACGCUUGCKGUUUUAGUUGUCUGUUCCAUGGCACUUUUGCUGGGGGGUUUUUGUGAUAUCCCCCCCCUANGCUCAUAACCCAACCGAGAUUWAAAAUCUCUCCGGGGACCAUGCGCAUAACCACGGAMUCAUAMGGCACKRGAUCANCURRNANACCGGCCCAYCSAGAGUGAWGAUUGAUCCUUCUCRUAUCAUUCUGUUUACCAGGUAUCGACAAUGAUC